CACGUAGGGGGGCAAGCGUUUGUCCGGAAUCAUUGGGCGUAAAGCGCACGUAGGCGGAUUGUUAAGUCAGGGGUGAAAUCCUGGAGCUCAACUCCAGAACUGCCUUUGAUACUGGCGAUCUCGAGUCCGGGGAGAGGUGAGUGGAACUGCGAGUGUAGAGGUGAAAUUCGUAGAUAUUCGCAAGAACACCAGUGGCGAAGGCGGCUCACUGGCCCGGUACUGACGCUGGAGGUGCGAAAGCGUGGGGAGCAAACAGG
rnacentral:rRNA from 1 species